rnacentral:rRNA from 1 species
UACGUAGGGUGCAAGCGUUGUCCGGAAUUAUUGGGCGUAAAGAGCUCGUAGGCGGUCUGUUGCGUCCGCUGUGAAAACUCGGGGCUUAACCCCGAGCCUGCAGUGGAUACGGGCAGACUAGAGGUAGGUAGGGGAGAAUGGAAUUCCCGGUGUAGCGGUGAAAUGCGUAGAUAUCGGAAGGAACACCUGUGGCGAAAGCGGCUCACUGGACCAUUACUGACGCUGAGGCACGAAAGCUAGGGGAGCAAACAGG